rnacentral:snRNA from 1 species
AUGCCUUAAAGUUAUGAGUAAGGAAAAUAACGAUUCGGGGUGACGCCCGAGUCCUCACUGCUUAUGUGAGAAGAAUUUUUUGAGCGGGUAUAGGUUGCAAUCUGAGGCAACCCGCCUACUUUGCGGGAUGCCUGGGUAACGCGAUCUGCCCG